rnacentral:rRNA from 1 species
UACGAAGGGGGCUAGCGUUGUUCGGAAUUACUGGGCGUAAAGCGCACGUAGGCGGACUAUUAAGUCAGGGGUGAAAUCCCGGGGCUCAACCCCGGAACUGCCUUUGAUACUGGUAGUCUCGAGUCCGGAAGAGGUGAGUGGAAUUCCGAGUGUAGAGGUGAAAUUCGUAGAUAUUCGGAGGAACACCAGUGGCGAAGGCGGCUCACUGGUCCGGUACUGACGCUGAGGUGCGAAAGCAUGGGGAGCAAACAGG